rnacentral:rRNA from 1 species
AUGGCGGAUCAGGAGGCCGCCGAGCCGGGCCCGCCGUCGUGGCCCCCCUGGACCUCCCUGCUGCUCCGGGCCAUGAGCAAGCGCCGCACCUGGGCGGCGCUCUUCCUCGCCGUCUACGCCGCGCUGCUCUCCUCCUCCUGGAGCCUGCUGGCGUCCGUGCGCGUCUGGUACUACGCCGCGGCCGCCUCGGCGGGGGCGGCCGCCGCGUGGCCCGCCGCGCUCUACGCCUCCGUCAUGUACGGCGCCGUCUUCGGCCUGCUCUCCAUGGGCGCCGCGCUGGCCGUCGCCGCGCCCGCCAUGCUGGUGACGUGGAUCACCGUGCUCGUGCUGCUGGCGUUCGCGGGGAAGCCCCGGCGGUCGCUGGUCGCCGAGGCGCGCCGCGCCACGGCCGACAUCGCGCGGCUCGCGCUCCGCGUGCUGCUGUGCGAGGGCAACGCCGUCGCCGCGGUCUGCGCCGUCGCCAGCUUCGCCGCCCUCCUCUUCGGCCGCCGCGACGACGCCGAGCGGCGGCUGAUCUGA